rnacentral:rRNA from 1 species
GAUGAACGCUGGCGGCGUGCCUAAUACAUGCAAGUCGAGCGAACAGACGAGGAGCUUGCUCCUCUGACGUUAGCGGCGGACGGGUGAGUAACACGUGGAUAACCUACCUAUAAGACUGGGAUAACUUCGGGAAACCGGAGCUAAUACCGGAUAAUAUAUUGAACCGCAUGGUUCAAUAGUAAAAGACGGUUUUGCUGUCACUUAUAGAUGGAUCCGCGCCGCAUUAGCUAGUUGGUAAGGUAACGACUUACCAAGGCAACGAUGCGUAGCCGACCUGAGAGGGUGAUCGGCCACACUGGAACUGAGACACGGUCCAGACUCCUACGGGAGGCAGCAGUAGGGAAUCUUCCGCAAUGGGCGAAAGCUUGACGGAGCAACGCCGCGUGAGUGAUGAAGGUCUUCGGAUCGUAAAACUCUGUUAUUAGGGAAGAACAAAUGUGUAAGUAACUAUGCACGUCUUGACGGUACCUAAUCAGAAAGCCACGGCUAACUACGUG